AUUGAACGCUGGCGGCAUGCUUUACACAUGCAAGUCGAACGGCAGCGGGGAGGAGCUUGCUUCUCUGCCGGCGAGUGGCGAACGGGUGAGUAAUACAUCGGAACGUGUCGAGAUGAGGGGGAUAACCACCCGAAAGGGUGGCUAAUACCGCAUAAAUUCUGAGGAAGAAAGCUGGGGACCUGGGAAUAGGCCUAGCGCUUUUUGAGCGGCCGAUGUCGGAUUAGCUAGUUGGUGAGGUAAAGGCUCACCAAGGCGAAGAUCUGUAGCGGGUCUGAGAGGAUGAUCCGCCACACUGGAACUGAGACACGGCCCAGACUCCUACGGGAGGCAGCAGUGGGGAAUUUUGGACAAUGGGGGCAACCCUGAUCCAGCCAUGCCGCGUGUAUGAAGAAGGCCUUAGGGUUGUAAAGUACUUUUGUUAGGGAAGAAAAGUCAGCUGUGAAUAAUGGCUGAUACUGACGGUACCUAAAGAAUAAGCACCGGCUAACUACGUG
rnacentral:rRNA from 1 species